CAUGGCAGCUGCCCCGGCCGGGCAGCAGACCCCAGUCUUGCCGCGGCGGUCGCCGAGUGCGCGACGGCUCCGUUUACCUUUUUCCCCCAUCGCGUUCUCGCUGCUCUUUUUUGUCCGCGCCGCUCCGAGAUCGUAACCGCGGAGCGGCGACCUCCGGCACUCAGUGGGUGAUACACACUCUGAUAAAACGCCGCGUCGUUUUCUUGGUGAAAGCCCGGUCCAGCACCCCCCGGUGCCGUGGGGAUCUCAGUGGAGUUGACGGAGUCAGCGAACGACGUCGAACGCGCGAUCCGGAUCGUCCGCCGCGACAGAAAUGUAGUACGAGCUGGAGAUGGGCUAGGGGGAUUCGACGCGCUCGCAGAGGGUAGGAGGGAGCGCGUGGUAUAGUGGAAGAUGGACCCGUGCGAAGAGGGCCGCGCGACAGAGACGAGGCUCGCCGAAGCCGCGGAUUCGAUCGCGUAUCGCGCGCCACGCGGCAUUAGGAUGCAGUGAUCGGGGGAGGGUGGUGGUGUGGUGGUGCGAGGAGGUCAGGCGAGAGGAGGUCCGCGAGAGUGGACGACGACGAUGCAUCACACCGGCGGCGGCGGCGUCGGUGGUGGUGGUGGUGGUGGUGGUGGUGGUGGUGGCGGCGUCGGCGGCGGCGGCGGUGGUGGUGGUGGCGUUGGCGCCGGUUACGCAGGUGGCCCGCAGGAGCGCGUUCAUCAGGCUCCGCGACCGGUCCAGCCCGACGCGAAGUGUCCCUACGAGACCUACCAGGCGCAAAUCCCGGACUGCUGCGCGGCCGCGGUAGCGGCGCAAGAUCCGUAUCCACGGCCGCCUAGCGGCUACGACACCAGGUGUUACGACGAGUGCCAUCGCAGGACACCGUACCAGGAGGAGCCUUAUUCUCAGGAUGUAUCCUCGACAUUCCACCGGUCCCAGUCUAGACUGGGCUACGAGGAACGUCCUCAGUCCCGGGUGGGAUACGCCUCGGAUUCCAGGUGCGCCAGCGGGCUCGGGUACGACGACACCGGUGGGGGUUACCUGGAUCAGAGUGACCCGAGAAUGUAUUGCACCGGCGGCUAUUGCAUGGGAGAUAUGGCGACGAGCAGAGGCGUACACGGCGAGGAGGUCGAGCUCGACAUGCGGAGGCACAUUCAGGCAUGCGCCUGCACAUGCAACCACAUGGGCUACGGGAAUUACAUGGACUAUCAGACCACGUGCCUAACAGAACUGCCAGACGUGGCGCCUUGCAACGGCACCGUGCGGCUACCGCCGCCGUGCGAGGACUCGCCUAGCAGCGGCAGCAGCAAGGAUCGCAGAGACGAGAGUCCUCGCAGGAGGUGUCGGGUGUUGGCGCCUGUCCUGCUCCUAGUGGUCGUCCUGCUCCUCGGAGGCCUCUGUCUGCCGUUUCUACUACAAUCCGCGCCUGCCACGCACCAGCAGAGGCUGGACGUGAUCAGGAGGAUCCUCACUGAAGUGCCUCUGAUCGACGGGCACAACGAUUUGCCCUGGAAUGUCAGAAAGUUCGUACACAAUCAACUUGGCGAAGUCAACCUGAGCAGCGAUCUCGGCAGGGUCGACCCUUGGGCCAGAUCAGACUGGAGUCACACGGACAUCCCUAGAUUACGCGCUGGCCUCGUCGGUGCACAGUUUUGGUCCGCCUAUGUUCCUUGCGGUGCCGCUCAGUUAAAUGCAGUUCAACUCUCGUUGGAACAGAUCGACGUGAUUCGUCGACUCGCCGAAAUGAAUGCUCAACAUUUAACCCUGGUUACCUCCGUCAAAGGUCUCAUCGAGGCGCAUAGAGAAGGCAAGAUCGCAAGUCUAAUCGGAGUGGAAGGUGGUCAUUCCCUGGGGAAUUCCUUGGGUGUCCUUAGAACGUUUUACGGUCUGGGAGCACGAUAUCUUACUUUGACACAUGCGUGCGACACCUCCUGUCUGUUCUGUUGGCGAGACGAACAACACUCAGGACUCCACGCCGGGCCUCAGCGAAUUUGGGAAAGCAGUCGUCAGAGAAUUGAACAGGCUGGGCAUGUUGGUCGAUCUCUCGCAUGUUUCGACCAGAACGAUGAGGGCGGCCCUGCAGACGACGAGGGCGCCGGUGAUCUUCUCGCACAGCGCCGCCAGGGCACUGUGCAAUUCCACCAGAAACGUGCCGGACGAUGUACUCAGAAAUCUGGCUAAGAAUGGCGGAGUGGCGAUGGUCCCUUUUUAUACCUACUUCAUAACAUGCAACAGCACCGCCACUAUAAAAGACGUUAUUGCACACAUCAAUCAUAUUCGGAAGGUGGCGGGAAUCGAUCACGUU
rnacentral:misc_RNA from 1 species